GAUGAAGAACGCAACGAAAUGCGAUAAGUAAUGUGAAUUGCAGACUUCAGUGAAUCAUCGAAUCUUUGAACGCACAUUGCGCCCGCUAGUAUUCUGGCGGGCAUGCCUGUUCGAGCGUCAUUUCAACCCUCAAGCCCAGCUUGGUGUUGGGGGCCGGCCGCGACUUAACCGCCGCGGCCGCCCCCGAAAUACAGUGGCGGUCUCGCUGCAGCCUCCCUUGCGUAGUAGCACACCUCGCACCGGAGCGCGGCGCGGCCACGCCGUUAAACCCCCAAACUUCUGAAUGUUGACCUCGGAUCAGGUAGGAAUACCCGCUGAACUUAAGCAUAUCAAUAAGCGGAGGA
rnacentral:misc_RNA from 1 species